ensembl:lncRNA
GGCGUAUACAAAGCAGGAUAAGGUGUUAAGGUUGUAUGCUAUCGAACAUUUUUAAUCUGUUUUUAUAAUGCAUUAUGAACGCAAUAUUGAUCUUUUCAUACAUUCCUCUGUGAUAGCUAGACCAGAGGCACGGACUUUCUCCAGGAGUUCUUUCAUCCGGACCUGCUUUUAUUAGAAAAUAAUCAACUCCAGUGUACUAACAGUAACGCCACCUCGUUAUUGAUUACUUUCCCAGCUCAUCAAGUGUUUUAUUCAUGACAUACCACCCCGAAUUAGAACCUAAAUUUAAAAAUCAUUAAAAAUUUUAGAUCUAAAUAAUGACAAGUGAUCGUGACAAACUCAGUUUUCACACAAGUCAAAUCUUCAAAAAACAGAAAUUUUUUUUUUUUUAACUUUAUACAAAAAAAAAAAAGCUAAUUAUCUGAUUUUUAAUCAACCAUAAAAGCCAGAACGACUUCUGACAGAAAUGCAUGAGAAGGACUAAAAGGAGAUAUAGUACAAUAUAUUCAAAACUCAGAAGACCUACAAAUCAGUCUGGCAUUUUACCCAUUUUCUCCCGUCUAUAAAAAGGCGCAAAGUCUUACACGUCCAAAAAAAUAGAAUAUCAGAUUACGUUUAUGGAAGAAGCUACGAAAGCCGAGCGACUAAAGUACAAAAACAGUCACAGGUCAGGGGUCAGGUCCUUAUUUGAUGCAAAGGGAGACGGUGUAUAAUUACAUACAGCUUACGAACCUUCGUCUAUAAACUUUUACACGAAUGGCUUUGAGAAUGAAAUACUUAAGGAAAAAAAAAAAAAGAAAAGAAAAAAAAAAAAGUCAACACUUGAAAUUCGUUUCAUUUACAACAUCUACAUCAUGCGGUCAUGCUGAUGCAGAGAUUAAAACAAGAAGAAGAAGAAGAAGAAGAAGAAGAAGAAGAAGAAGAAGAAAUGGAUAAUUAGUUCCUGAACUGUGAAUGGAAAAGAGAACUCUUCAUAAAGACAGUUUUGAGUUUAAAAUUAAAAAAAGAAAAAAAAGAAAAAAAAGGAAUUAAAUCUUUAGGUACUGAAAUGUAAGGAGACCAAAUUAUGGGUCACAGUUACGCAUUUCCUUCCGAAUCCCCUGAAAAUUCUCUCUUUUCUUGAUGCCGUUGUAGGAUUAAGCCUUUUCCUCUAUAUAUAAAGUCCUUACUUUAAUACCGAGUCGUCUGUGGGUGAUUUAAUCAGCUCCCUGGAUCUCUGGUUGAAGCGGGUUUGGUUUGGAAAUGAAAUUAAAGAUGCUGUGUGUUUAUUGUUGGAUUUUUUACAGAAGAUAUCAUGCUCAGUGUUCCUGAGGAAUACCAAAAAAUGAGUCAUACUCAGGUUGUGAUAAACGAACGUUUCUCCUCAGACGUUUGGG